UGGGGAAUUUUGGACAAUGGGCGAAAGCCUGAUCCAGCAAUGCCGCGUGUGUGAAGAAGGCCUUCGGGUUGUAAAGCACUUUUGUCCGGAAAGAAAUCCUUGGCUCUAAUACAGUCGGGGGAUGACGGUACCGGAAGAAUAAGCACCGGCUAACUACGUGCCAGCAGCCGCGGUAAUACGUAGGGUGCAAGCGUUAAUCGGAAUUACUGGGCGUAAAGCGUGCGCAGGCGGUUUGCUAAGACCGAUGUGAAAUCCCCGGGCUCAACCUGGGAACUGCAUUGGUGACUGGCAGGCUAGAGUAUGGCAGAGGGGGGUAGAAUUCCACGUGUAGCAGUGAAAUGCGUAGAGAUGUGGAGGAAUACCGAUGGCGAAGGCAGCCCCCUGGGCCAAUACUGACGCUCAUGCACGAAAGCGUGGGGAGCAAACAGGAUUAGAUACCCUGGUAGUCCACGCCCUAAAACGAUGUCAACUAGUUGUUGGGGAUUCAUUUCCUUAGUAACGUAGCUAACGCGUGAAGUUGACCGCCUGGGGAGUACGGUCGCAAAUGAAUCAAUUAAAGGAAUUGACGGGGUCAUAGCUGUUUCCU
rnacentral:rRNA from 1 species